AUGAAGAAGAUCAAGAGUGGGAAUGAGCUAGUGGAAGAAGUAAAGAAGAUUGAGAAGAACAUCAACGUUGGCAGUACUAUUUCUUCACAGCUUGAGCUGAGUAAUUCUGGGAUUCCCCUUGAUACAUGUGAGGUUCCAAUACCGUCACAUCCAGCUGAGCAACAUAGCGAGAGUCCAGAGGAAGAGAUAUCUCAGAUUGAAGAAGAUGUAGUCGAAGACAAGGCACAAGAUGAUCCAGAGCUCGAACAACAAAGUGAUCAAGUUGAAGACUCAUCAUCUAUUACUCUUGAAGAAGCAAAAGAAGUUGAUGUGAUUGAAGAUGAAGAACCAGAAACGCAUUUGCCCAUCAUCAUACAGGAGCGUGAUUUAGCAGGUUUAUCCAAUCCUCUUGAUGACAUGCUUCCUUAUGAGAUCUUUGCUGCUACUUUCCAUUGUGUUAUACCAUCAAUUAAGCUAGACUUGAAAAAUUAUUUGCUUGGACAUGAUCAUACAUACAUUGUUGGUGGCAUUGCUCUCAUUCCUGAUGAUGACACUUAUUUUCCUUAUGCUAGUCCUAUGCUUAAUGAAACAUAUUAUUCCCAUGCUAGUCUUGAGCUUAAUGAUAAAUUUCAUCCUCAUGUUAGUGUCGACCUUGCUGAUUUCUACCAUCCUAAACAUGUGCUUUAUAGCUAUGCUUAUGUAAUUGGAUAUUCGAUUGAUGACUUGGAGGGUAUUAUCCCUACCACUUGCAUUGUCUCUUUCGUUGAAUGCUCUUUCAGGUUUUUGCUUGUGCACGAUCCAUUACAUGCUGACCAGGUUCGAGGUGACAUUCCUUGGGACCCUGGUGGGCUCAGAGCAUGGGGAUGA
rnacentral:rRNA from 1 species